rnacentral:miRNA from 1 species
GAGGAGGAGAUCUCUCUCUCUCUCUCUCUCUCUCUCUCUCUCUCUCUCUGAGAGAGAGAGAGAGAGAGAGGAGAGAAUAUGAAUGAA